rnacentral:rRNA from 1 species
GACGUAGGGCGCGAGCGUUGUCCGGAUUUAUUGGGCGUAAAGAGCUCGUAGGCGGCUUGUCGCGUCGAAUGUGAAAUCUCAGGGCUCAACUCUGACAUUGCAUUCGAUACGGGCAGGCUAGAGUUCGGUAGGGGAGACUGGAAUUCCUGGUGUAGCGGUGAAACGCGCAGAUAUCAGGAGGAACACCGGUGGCGAAGGCGGGUCUCUGGGCCGAUACUGACGCUGAGGAGCGAAAGCGUGGGGAGCGAACAGG